GACGAACGCUGGCGGCGUGCUUAACACAUGCAAGUCGAACGGAAAGGCCCCUUUGGGGGUCCUCGAGUGGCGAACGGGUGCGUAACACGUGAGUAACCUUCCCUUGACUUCGGGAUAACUUCAGUAAACUGGGGCUAAUACCGGAUAGGAAUCCUUGCUGCAUGGUGGGGGUUGGAAAGCUUCGGCGGUUUUGGAUGGACUCGCGGCUUAUCAGCUUGUUGGUGGGGUAGUGGCUUACCAAGGCUUUGACGGGUAGCCGGCCUGAGAGGGCGACCGGCCACAUUGGGACUGAGAUACGGCCCAGACUCCUACGGGAGGCAGCAGUGGGGAAUAUUGCACAAUGGGCGGAAGCCUGAUGCAGCAACGCCGCGUGCGGGAUGACGGCCUUCGGGUUGUAAAACGCUUUCAGCAGGGGCGAAGCUUGUGGUGACGGUACCUGCAGAAGAAGCACCGGCUAACUACGUG
rnacentral:rRNA from 1 species